rnacentral:rRNA from 1 species
UGGGGAAUAUUGCACAAUGGGCGCAAGCCUGAUGCAGCCAUGCCGCGUGUGUGAAGAAGGCCUUCGGGUUGUAAAGCACUUUCAGCGAGGAGGAAGGUGGUGAGCUUAAUACGCUCAUCAAUUGACGUUACUCGCAGAAGAAGCACCGGCUAACUCCGUGCCAGCAGCCGCGGUAAUACGGAGGGUGCAAGCGUUAAUCGGAAUUACUGGGCGUAAAGCGCACGCAGGCGGUUUGUUAAGUCAGAUGUGAAAUCCCCGGGCUCGACCUGGGAACUGCAUUUGAAACUGGCAAGCUAGAGUCUCGUAGAGGGGGGUAGAAUUCCAGGUGUAGCGGUGAAAUGCGUAGAGAUCUGGAGGAAUACCGGUGGCGAAGGCGGCCCCCUGANGAAGACUGACGCUCAGGUGCGAAAGCGUGGGGAGCAAACAGGAUUAGAGUACCCUGGUAGUCCACGCUGUAAACCGAUGUCGAUUUGGAGGUUGUGCCCUUGAGGCGUGGCUUCCGGAGCUAACGCGUUAAAUCGACCGCCUGGGGAGUACGGCCGCAAGGUU